UAUUCCCUGCGGCGUGCGAAAGCAGCUGGGUUACUUCUUGAGCCUAAUCUAAAACCCCGGGAACCAUCGAACGAGCGAUGUGCGCAAGUCCGCUCCGAGCGGAAAGCCUAAUUCGCCGUUCCUACGCUCCCACCUGAACCUUCCGGUUCAAGGGCGAAAGCGGUUUACGGCGCAGGCGGGGAAUAC
rnacentral:other from 5 species